UGCUUAAGGGCCUGAGCAGAAUGGCUGACUUAUAACCUUAAGACAAGUUUUAUGACUUAAGUCUUUGUCUUUAAGAACGCACAAUAACUGUCUUAUGUCUUAUGUCUCAAGCAGUCUCAAGGGGCCAGUGAGGUGUUUAUCGUUACGAAGAAUAUUACGUAUUUAAACAUAAAAGUUUGCUGUAAAUCCUGGCACGUUGUGCAAUUGACAAAGCUCGUCCCAGCACCUCGCUAGCAGCAAUUCGACGGGAUUGACGAAGGAAUUUUCGAGGCCGACGCCGCCCGUCAUCAGGAACAUCAUCAAGAGCUGACUCUGCUUGUUCAGCAAGUUCAUAGUGGUUCACAGAUAGCAGGAGCGAGAAAAGCAGCUUGUAGUUCUCGAAAAGCGAGCAGCAUAUAUUGAUUUUUUUAUAGGAAAUUGUAAAAAAUUUUAAGUAUUAAAUGAAGAAAGAUAAAA